UGAAUCCGGUAAUCAGAUGGCCAUACUCUGUGUACAUGUAACACACGACGAGACAGGAGGAUCCGGAGUCCGGGACAGAGAUGUAUCCUGGAAAAAGACGGCCAGAGAAUCUGAAAUCGUGUCCAUAGCAGUGUUGGGGGAAAGCUCAACCCGUGCAAGUCGAACGCUGAAGCUUGGUGCUUGCACUGGGUGGAUGAGUGGCGAACGGGUGAGUAAUACGUGAGUAACCUGCCCUUGACUCUGGGAUAAGCCUGGGAAACUGGGUCUAAUACUGGAUACGACAUCGUGCCGCAUGGUGUGGUGUGGAAAGGGUUUUACUGGUUUUGGAUGGGCUCACGGCCUAUCAGCUUGUUGGUGGGGUAAUGGCUCACCAAGGCGACGACGGGUAGCCGGCCUGAGAGGGUGACCGGCCACACUGGGACUGAGACACGGCCCAGACUCCUACGGGAGGCAGC
rnacentral:rRNA from 1 species